GAGAGAAACAAGUUGCUGCUUCAUUUUGGGUCGGCGAGAUGGAGAAUGAGUUGAGGGAAUUGGGGCAACUGGACUUUUUUGGUUUGCUUAAAGAAGAUGGGGACUCUUCUAGGGUUCUAGAACAAAUCGACAAAAUUAGGGCGAGAAGUUUGUACGAGCAUACAUCAGAUGAUUGUUCUGAUACUUGCAAAGAGCGCGGAUGUGGAAGGCUAUGGGUUGCCGAUGGAAUAUGGAAA